rnacentral:rRNA from 1 species
CGGUACGUACUGGUAUUGUUGGUUUCUCCCUUCUGACGAACCAUGAUGUCAUUUAUUUGGUGUUGUGGGGAAUCAGGACUGUUACUUUGAAAAAAUUAGAGUGUUUAAAGCAGGCUCACGCUUGAAUACAUUAGCAUGGAAUAAUGAAAUAGGACGUUUGAUUCUAUUUUGUUGGUUUCUAGGAUCGACGUAAUGAUUAAUAGGGAUAGUUGGGGGCAUUAGUGUUCAAUUGUCAGAGGUGAAAUUCUGGGAUUUAUUGAAGACUAACUACUGCGAAAGCAUUUGCCAAGGAUGUUUUCAUUAAUCAAGAACGAAAGUUAGGGGAUCGAAGGCGAUCAGAUACCGUCGUAGUCUUAACCAUAAACUAUGCCGACUAGGGAUCGGACGCAGUUAAUUUUAUAAUGACGUGUUCGGCGCCUUACG